rnacentral:rRNA from 1 species
AGCGUAGGCGGGUGUUUAAGUUAAGUGUGAAGCCUGGGGCUUAACUCCAGAAAUGCACUUAAUACUGGACACCUAGAGUGUGGGAGAGGUAAGUGGAAUUCCUAGUGUAGCGGUAGAAUGCGUAGAGAUUAGGAGGAACACCAGAGGCGAAGGCGGCUUACUGGACCACAACUGACGCUGAGGCUCGAAAGUGUGGGGAGCAAACA